GGAUGGGCCCGCGGCCUAUCAGCUUGUUGGUGGGGUAAUGGCCUACCAAGGCGACGACGGGUAGCCGACCUGAAAGGGUGACCGGCCACACUGGGACUGAGACACGGCCCAGACUCCUACGGGAGGCAGCAGUGGGGAAUAUUGCACAAUGGGCGGAAGCCUGAUGCAGCGACGCCGCGUGAGGGAUGAAGGCCUUCGGGUUGUAAACCUCUUUCAGCAGGGACGAAGCGUGAGUGACGGUACCUGCAGAAGAAGCACCGGCUAACUACGUGCCAGCAGCCGCGGUAAUACGUAGGGUGCGAGCGUUGUCCGGAAUUACUGGGCGUAAAGAGUUCGUAAGCUGUUUGUCGCGUCCUUUGUGAAAA
rnacentral:rRNA from 1 species